rnacentral:rRNA from 1 species
UUAAGCGACUAAGCGUACACGGUGGAUGCCCUGGCAGUCAGAGGCGAUGAAGGACGUGCUAAUCUGCGAUAAGCGUCGGUAAGGUGAUAUGAACCGUUAUAACCGGCGAUUUCCGAAUGGGGAAACCCAGUGUGUUUCGACACACUAUCAUUAACUGAAUCCAUAGGUUAAUGAGGCGAACCGGGGGAACUGAAACAUCUAAGUACCCCGAGGAAAAGAAAUCAACCGAGAUUCCCCCAGUAGCGGCGAGCGAACGGGGAGCAGCCCAGAGCCUGAAUCAGUGUGUGUGUUAGUGGAAGCGUCUGGAAAGGCGCGCGAUACAGGGUGACAGCCCCGUACACAAAAAUGCACAUGCUGUGAGCUCGAUGAGUAGGGCGGGACACGUGGUAUCCUGUCUGAAUAUGGGGGGACCAUCCUCCAAGGCUAAAUACUCCUGACUGACCGAUAGUGAACCAGUACCGUGAGGGAAAGGCGAAAAGAACCCCGGCGAGGGGAGUGAAAAAGAACCUGAAACCGUGUACGUACAAGCAGUGGGAGCACGCUUAGGCGUGUGACUGCGUACCUUUUGUAUAAUGGGUCAGCGACUUAUAUUCUGUAGCAAGGUUAACCGAAUAGGGGAGCCGAAGGGAAACCGAGUCUUAACUGGGCGUUAAGUUGCAGGGUAUAGACCCGAAACCCGGUGAUCUAGCCAUGGGCAGGUUGAAGGUUGGGUAACACUAACUGGAGGACCGAACCGACUAAUGUUGAAAAAUUAGCGGAUGACUUGUGGCUGGGGGUGAAAGGCCAAUCAAACCGGGAGAUAGCUGGUUCUCCCCGAAAGCUAUUUAGGUAGCGCCUCGUGAAUUCAUCUCCGGGGGUAGAGCACUGUUUCGGCAAGGGGGUCAUCCCGACUUACCAACCCGAUGCAAACUGCGAAUACCGGAGAAUGUUAUCACGGGAGACACACGGCGGGUGCUAACGUCCGUCGUGAAGAGGGAAACAACCCAGACCGCCAGCUAAGGUCCCAAAGUCAUGGUUAAGUGGGAAACGAUGUGGGAAGGCCCAGACAGCCAGGAUGUUGGCUUAGAAGCAGCCAUCAUUUAAAGAAAGCGUAAUAGCUCACUGGUCGAGUCGGCCUGCGCGGAAGAUGUAACGGGGCUAAACCAUGCACCGAAGCUGCGGCAGCGACACUGUGUGUUGUUGGGUAGGGGAGCGUUCUGUAAGCCUGUGAAGGUGUGCUGUGAGGCAUGCUGGAGGUAUCAGAAGUGCGAAUGCUGACAUAAGUAACGAUAAAGCGGGUGAAAAGCCCGCUCGCCGGAAGACCAAGGGUUCCUGUCCAACGUUAAUCGGGGCAGGGUGAGUCGACCCCUAAGGCGAGGCCGAAAGGCGUAGUCGAUGGGAAACAGGUUAAUAUUCCUGUACUUGGUGUUACUGCGAAGGGGGGACGGAGAAGGCUAUGUUGGCCGGGCGACGGUUGUCCCGGUUUAAGCGUGUAGGCUGGUUUUCCAGGCAAAUCCGGAAAAUCAAGGCUGAGGCGUGAUGACGAGGCACUACGGUGCUGAAGCAACAAAUGCCCUGCUUCCAGGAAAAGCCUCUAAGCAUCAGGUAACAUCAAAUCGUACCCCAAACCGACACAGGUGGUCAGGUAGAGAAUACCAAGGCGCUUGAGAGAACUCGGGUGAAGGAACUAGGCAAAAUGGUGCCGUAACUUCGGGAGAAGGCACGCUGAUAUGUAGGUGAAGUCCCUCGCGGAUGGAGCUGAAAUCAGUCGAAGAUACCAGCUGGCUGCAACUGUUUAUUAAAAACACAGCACUGUGCAAACACGAAAGUGGACGUAUACGGUGUGACGCCUGCCCGGUGCCGGAAGGUUAAUUGAUGGGGUUAGCCGCAAGGCGAAGCUCUUGAUCGAAGCCCCGGUAAACGGCGGCCGUAACUAUAACGGUCCUAAGGUAGCGAAAUUCCUUGUCGGGUAAGUUCCGACCUGCACGAAUGGCGUAAUGAUGGCCAGGCUGUCUCCACCCGAGACUCAGUGAAAUUGAACUCGCUGUGAAGAUGCAGUGUACCCGCGGCAAGACGGAAAGACCCCGUGAACCUUUACUAUAGCUUGACACUGAACAUUGAGCCUUGAUGUGUAGGAUAGGUGGGAGGCUUUGAAGUGUGGACGCCAGUCUGCAUGGAGCCGACCUUGAAAUACCACCCUUUAAUGUUUGAUGUUCUAACGUGGACCCGUGAUCCGGGUUGCGGACAGUGUCUGGUGGGUAGUUUGACUGGGGCGGUCUCCUCCUAAAGAGUAACGGAGGAGCACGAAGGUUGGCUAAUCCUGGUCGGACAUCAGGAGGUUAGUGCAAUGGCAUAAGCCAGCUUGACUGCGAGCGUGACGGCGCGAGCAGGUGCGAAAGCAGGUCAUAGUGAUCCGGUGGUUCUGAAUGGAAGGGCCAUCGCUCAACGGAUAAAAGGUACUCCGGGGAUAACAGGCUGAUACCGCCCAAGAGUUCAUAUCGACGGCGGUGUUUGGCACCUCGAUGUCGGCUCAUCACAUCCUGGGGCUGAAGUAGGUCCCAAGGGUAUGGCUGUUCGCCAUUUAAAGUGGUACGCGAGCUGGGUUUAGAACGUCGUGAGACAGUUCGGUCCCUAUCUGCCGUGGGCGCUGGAGAACUGAGGGGGGCUGCUCCUAGUACGAGAGGACCGGAGUGGACGCAUCACUGGUGUUCGGGUUGUCAUGCCAAUGGCACUGCCCGGUAGCUAAAUGCGGAAGAGAUAAGUGCUGAAAGCAUCUAAGCACGAAACUUGCCCCGAGAUGAGUUCUCCCUGACCCUUUAAGGGUCCUGAAGGAACGUUGAAGACGACGACGUUGAUAGGCCGGGUGUGUAAGCGCAGCGAUGCGUUGAGCUAACCGGUACUAAUGAACCGUGAGGCUUAACCUU